AAGAUGUAUGCAGUGCACUGUCCGACACAGAGCUGAAGCCACUAGAGAGACCCAUGGUGUCUUACGGGGAUACAAGCAACUUGAAACUGGGCACUGUCAUUGGUAUGGGUUAGGAAGUCUUCAUAUGCUCCAACAGUGUGACGGAACUGCUAGUACAGAUCUAGAGCAAUCUAGACCCCAAAAUUAGUUUGAUUUCUCUCACUAGACACAUACUCCCGGAAGAACAGCAGAAGACCAGCUUCUGCAAUAUACAAAACAGCAAAAAAAGUUUAGCAAGUUCGUCAAGCUACUUCCACUUGCUGACUUCCCAGAAAGGCCUCCAACUAUGUUCAGCACACCAAAGAAAGAGUACACAUAUCAUAAGAGACAACAGCAUGUGGAUACUGAAAUCCUGCAGCAGAGACCUCCUGCCCCAUGAGGUUUAAUUGGUUUUCUCAUUACAGAUAACUGAGUCUGAACAAAAAAAGCUCUGUGAGAGCAGAGGAGUGCAUUUCUCAGAUUUAGUCAUCCUGGAUAAAUGAGAGAGAAGGAGAUGCAAUACCAGAACUUGAAUCUGCUGAGAGAUACUACAUGAGAAAUGCCACAUACAAAGCUCACCCUGCAGGACUCUCUUUCUCUGCCUGCCAUGAAGAAAACCAAAGAUUAACCUCUCAAAGCCUGGUGGAAAGUGUUUAUACAUCUUUUUGAAAUUCUGCAUCAUUGACCAGAUGACCCCUAGAAGAUGAGAAAAUAGUAGCAGAAGCAGCAGCAAACAGGAAGCUAUUUUGGAACAGAAGAGAAGGCAUUUUACCUCUGGAUGUCACUGUUCUUCAACAGCAACUGGACAGAUGGCAGCUCACAAAGCUUCUGCAAAUGUUUUUAGAUUUAUUAAUUAAAAAUGCAGUUCCAAUUGUCCCAACUGUUUUAAAAUGCUGCAGUCAAUGAUCUAACAUUCAGAGGAAGGCGUAAUUUCUCUUCAUUUUCCUUUGGGAAUCACAAUAAAAGACUUAAGCCUUGUCACUUGCUGCUCCAUCAUCACUAGCACCAUGUAUUAAAAGUGCUGUAACAAUAGGAGAGUUAAAGAGUUACCCAAUCAUUAUGUCUCGCAUUAUAUAAAGCCAAAAGAAAACAAAAACCACAAAUAAUUUUUCAAUGGAUCACAGUACAUGAUACUAACAUAGUUUUUUUUUCCCUUGGUAAACUAAGAGAAUUGAUAUACUAGGGAAAUCAAAACUACAAUUCAACACAUUUGCCCUUCUCAGUUUCUUCCUUUUAUUAUAGGCAUCCAGAGACUGAGACUGAUGGCCAUGAGUUGCUUCUGCACACUCAGAACUCUUCAAGCAACACAGUUUGAAAGAAGGAUCCCAUUGUCCUGGUUUUGGCUGGGGUAGAGAGUUAAUUUUCUUCUUAGUAGCUGGUACAAUGCUGUGUUUUGGAUUUAGUAUGAAAACCAUGUUGAUAACAGAGAUGUCUUAGUUGUUGCUUACUCUAGAUGAAGGACUUUCCAGUUUCCCAUGCUCUGCCAGUGAGCAGGUACACAAGAAGCCAGGAGACAGCAGAUGCAGGACAACUGACCCACACUAGCCAAAGGGAUAUUCCAUACCCUAGAACACCAUGCUUGGUGUGUAAGCUGGGGGAAGUUGGCCAGGGCCUGCUGAUUGCUGCUCAGGGACUGGCUGGGCAUCGGUCAGCGGGUGGCAAGAAACUAUAUUGUGCACCACUCUGAUUUUUUUAGUUUCUUUUGUUUGCUUCCAUCCCCUACCCCUUGUGUUUUAUUCCUCUCUCUUUCUCUCUCCUUUUCAUCACAAUAGUUAUUAUUGUUAUUAUUAUACUUCAAUUAUUAAAUUCUUAUCUCAACCCAUGAGUUUUACCUUUUUCUGAUUCUCCUCCCCAUUCCACCAGGGCAGGGGAGGGAGUGAGUGAGCAGCUGCGUGGUACUUAGUUGCCAGCUGGGGUUAAACCACAACACCCACUCACCACCCAAACUACAAUAAGUUUUAGCCUAUAGUUGUGAUCUUUAUAUAUUCAGUUUCAGAAAGGAAAGAGAAGAGAAGAAAAAAAUAAUCUCUCUCAUUUGCCCAAUCUGAAUAACCCAGAGAGAGGCAAACAGGUUUAUCACGAAAGGGACCCCAGAUUUCAGUCUGACAGCCUCUAUCAAGGGCACU